rnacentral:rRNA from 1 species
UACGUAGGGUGCGAGCGUUGUCCGGAAUUAUUGGGCGUAAAGAGCUUGUAGGCGGUCUGUCGCGUCUGCUGUGAAAAUCCGGGGCUCAACCCCGGACUUGCAGUGGGUACGGGCAGACUAGAGUGUGGUAGGGGAGACUGGAAUUCCUGGUGUAGCGGUGAAAUGCGCAGAUAUCAGGAGGAACACCCAUGGCGAAGGCAGCAAACUGGGCAUCAACUGACGCUGAGGCGCGAAAGCGUGGGUAGCAAACAGG